AUUGAACGCUGGCGGCAUGCCUAACACAUGCAAGUCGAACGCGUGGCGCACGGGUGAGUAAUGUCUGUGACACUGCCUGAUGGCGGGGGAUAACUACUGGAAACGGUACCUAAUACCGCAUACCAUCAGAUUUUCCCUGAUGGGAUUAGCUUGUUGGUGGGUUAACGGCUCACCAAGGCGACGAUCCCUAGCUGGUCUGAGAGGAUGACCAGCCACACUGGAACUGAGACACGGUCCAGACUCCUACGGGAGGCAGCAGUGGGGAAUAUUGCACAAUGGGCGCAAGCCUGAUGCAGCCAUGCCGCGUGUAUGAAGAAGGCCUUCGGGUUGUAAAGUACUUUCAGCGGGGAGGCGUUACCCGCAGAAGAAGCACCGGCUAACUCCGUGCCAGCAGCCGCGGUAAUUC
rnacentral:rRNA from 1 species